GAUGAACGCUGGCGGCGUGCCUAAUACAUGCCAGUCGAGCGAACAGAUAAGGAGCUUGCUCCUUUGACGUUAGCGGCGGACGGGUGAGUAACACGUGGGUAACCUACCUAUAAGACUGGGAUAACUUCGGGAAACCGGAGCUAAUACCGGAUAAUAUUUCGAACCGCAUGGUUCGAUAGUGAAAGAUGGUUUUGCUAUCACUUAUAGAUGGACCCGCGCCGUAUUAGCUAGUUGGUAAGGUAACGGCUUACCAAGGCGACGAUACGUAGCCGACCUGAGAGGGUGAUCGGCCACACUGGAACUGAGACACGGUCCAGACUCCUACGGGGGGCAGCAGUAGGGAAUCUUCCGCAAUGGGCGAAAGCCUGACGGAGCAACGCCGCGUGAGUGAUGAAGGUCUUCGGAUCGUAAAACUCUGUUAUUAGGGAAGAACAUACGUGUAAGUAACUGUGCACGUCUUGACGGUACCUAAUCAGAAAGCCACGGCUAACUACGUG
rnacentral:rRNA from 1 species